rnacentral:tmRNA from 1 species
GGGGGCGAUUGGAGUAGACAGGGUGCCGAUGAGACAGGUGGCGAGCCGAGGCGCGGGAGGCCUCGUAAAAACCCGCAAAAAAAACAAACGCCAAGAAGAACAACUUCGCGGUUGCUAAGAACGCUGUGCGUUCCUUAGCGCUUGCUUAACUAGUUUAAGCCAUCGCGUCACUUACCAGUGAGGAGUGAGUGCCCCGGUGAAGAUGAACCUCACUACCUAUCGGCGUAACGUGCGCAUCGCCGGGGGAAACAAAUCGUACUAGGACCCAGCCCAGCCCGUCCGUAGGCGGGGCCGUCUGAGAAUUAAACUGCGGACUAUGCUCGUAGAGGCUUGAUCUUUGACCACUUUGGACUGGGGUUCGAGUCCCCACGCCUCCG